rnacentral:rRNA from 1 species
GACGAACGCUGGCGGCGUGCUUAACACAUGCAAGUCGAACGGAGAGGCCCUGCUUUUGUGGGGUGCUCGAGUGGCGAACGGGGGGGUAAAACGUGAGUAACCUGCCCUUGACUUUGGGAUAACUUCAGGAAACUGGGGCUAAUACCGGAUAGGAGCUCCUGCUGCAUGGUGGGGGUUGGAAAGUUUCGGCGGUUGGGGAUGGACUCGCGGCUUAUCAGCUUGUUGGUGGGGUAGUGGCUUACCAAGGCUUUGACGGGUAGCCGGCCUGUGAGGGUGACCGGCCACAUUGGGACUGAGAUACGGCCCAGACUCCUACGGGAGGCAGCAGUGGGGAAUAUUGCACAAUGGGCGGAAGCCUGAUGCAGCAACGCCGCGUGCGGGAUGACGGCCUUCGGGUUGUAAACCGCUUUCGCCUGUGACGAAGCGUGAGUGACGGUAAUGGGUAAAGAAGCACCGGCUAACUACGUG